UACGUAGGGCGCAAGCGUUAUCCGGAAUUAUUGGGCGUAAAGAGCUCGUAGGCGGUUUGUCGCGUCUGCCGUGAAAGUCCGGGGCUCAACUCCGGAUCUGCGGUGGAUACGGGCAGACUUGAGUUCGGUAGGGGAGACUGGAAUUCCUGGUGUAGCGGUGAAAUGCGCAGAUAUCAGGAAGAACACCCGUGGCGAAGGCGGCUCUCUGGGACGGUACUGACGCUGAGACGCGAAAGCGUGGGGAGCGAACAGG
rnacentral:rRNA from 1 species